rnacentral:rRNA from 1 species
CCUACGGGGGGCUGCAGUAGGGAAUCUUCGGCAAUGGGGGCAACCCUGACCGAGCAACGCCGCGUGAGUGAAGAAGGUUUUCGGAUCGUAAAGCUCUGUUGUAAGUCAAGAACGAGUGUGAGAGUGGAAAGUUCACACUGUGACGGUAGCUUAUUAGAAAGGGACGGCUAACUACGUGCCAGCAGCCGCGGUAAUACGUAGGUCCCGAGCGUUGUCCGGAUUUAUUGGGCGUAAAGCGAGCGCAGGCGGUUUGAUAAGUCUGAAGUUAAAGGCUGUGGCUCAACCAUAGUUCGCUUUGGAAACUGUCAAACUUGAGUGCAGAAGGGGAGAGUAGAAUUCCAUGUGUAACGGUGAAAUGCGUAGAUAUAUGGAGGAACACCGGUGGCGAAAGCGGCUCUCUGGUCUGUAACUGACGCUGAGGCUCGAAAGCGUGGGGAGCGAACAGGAUUAGAUACCCUUGUAGUC